UAGCAUUGAGUUUCGGUAUUGUCUGUACAGGAUAGGUGGGAGGCUGAGAAGUAGCGUCGCCAGGCGCUAUGGAGCCGCCGUUGGGAUACCACCCUGAUGAUACUGAAGCUCUAACCGGAGGCCAUGAAGCUGGUCACGGGACAUUGUUAGGCGGGCAGUUUGACUGGGGCGGUCGCCUCCUAAAGAGUAACGGAGGCGCCCAAAGGUUCCCUCAGUGCGGUUGGAAAUCGCGCGUAGAGUGCAAAGGCAGAAGGGAGCCUAACUGUGAGACUGACAAGUCGAGCAGUGACGAAAGUCGGGCUUAGUGAUCCGGUGGUACCGAGUGGAAGGGCCAUCGCUCAACGGAUAAAAGCUACCUCGGGGAUAACAGGCUGAUCUCCCCCAAGAGUCCACAUCGACGGGGAGGUUUGGCACCUCGAUGUCGGCUCGUCGCAUCCUGGGGCUGAAGUAGGUCCCAAGGGUUGGGCUGUUCGCCCAUUAAAGCGGCACGCGAGCUGGGUUCAGAACGUCGUGAGACAAUAUAAAAUAUAAUAGCUAGGGUGGGCGGAGGGUUUAUGAUUGAAAGGAGAAAGGAGCAUUGAAGGAGGCAAAGCUUGUAGUAUUAUCACUGCUUACAGGAAUGAUUGUUGGAUUUAUAUUCCAAAAGCUUUCCCUACCUGUGCCAGCACCACCAACUAUUGAUGCCUUCAUGGGUAUCUUUGGUGUAUGGCUUGGUUCAGUUGUAAUUGAUAAGAUUUCAAGAUAAUUAAAGGAGGGAAAGUGAAAUGAUGACAAUACUAUUAGCAACAGUUGCAGGUAUGAUAUUAGGUGCUCUA
rnacentral:rRNA from 1 species